rnacentral:lncRNA from 1 species
CCCCAACCUCCAGGGCCUGGGCAGCACAGCUUUGCCCUGUGCCGGGGACGAGGGGAACCAGGCGUGUUUAGUUAACACGGUUUUCUCCUGGUUGCUUCCCUAGGUUGUCAUCAGGACGGAGAGAGGGAAUGGUCCGUGACGCACUUUGUGAAACAUCGAGUCCGCGACACAUGUAAGUUACACACGUUAAAUACUGCUGUAUUGUUGUUGUUGUCGUGACUGAUAUCACUAAUCCUCCUCGUCUUUCACACUGUCCAGAAAUCAGCCGUGGCGUCAGCCCAGAGCCGGGGGGAGGCCUUCUCUCCCAUCAGGCUAGAAGAUGCUGAGCGGACCCUGCACCGUGGGUGUGCUUGCUGCACUGACUUCUCAGCAGGCCCUCCCUGCGGAAUCAUGGAAAUGUCAGAGUUGGGAGAGGCCACCAACACCACCCCGCCAAGGCCCUCAGCUGGGGAGCUGCGCCUAAGGUCACGCAGCUUGGUGGCCAGUCAGGGCCAGAAUCUGGUCUUCUGAUUCCCAGCCAAGGACACAGGCCUCCUCCAGCGCCGCGUCUGCACCAGCGGCUCAGGGUUUGCUCUGAAGUGAGCCCAAACAGCGGACUCGUCCAGAGUGUCGGCUCCCCGCCCUGUCCCCACCCAGAGUCCCUGGUAAGGCCUCACGUGGAGACUGAUGUCCUGGCUCUAGGGAGGCAAGCCUGGCCAGGCGUCCUCCGCACUGGCCCGGAGGACUGUCUCUGUGCAGGAGCCAGGAGUCUCCAAACCUCCUGGGUCUUUCAACACUGGAAUCUCUUGGACCACAGAAGGAAAGAUGUCCCCAUCACAAGAGUACCAGGGUGCGAGGGGACCACUGAGUCUCGUCCCCUAUUCCAGCUCGCGGUGAGGCCUGAGCUCACUGCCUUAGAUUAUCGUCUCCCUCUCUUCCGCACGCAGGUGUGGCUGAAGUUAGAUGUGUACACUGUGUGACUCCACCCUUUGCGCGUCGUGAGAUCCGGGUCCCCAGAGUGAAAGCUGCCCUGGAACCCAGGCCAAGGUCGGCGGCUGCUGCGCCUCAGAGAAGGAGCUGACAGCCAUCCGUGGACAAGGGGUGGAGGAGUUUCAGCCCGGCCCACGCUGUGAUCCAGCGUAUCUGUAGGAAUGAAGCACACCUCCAGGUCGUCAGAGAGCGGCCGCCGUGGAAUGUAAAGAAAAUUGGCUGUGAUUUUGGAAACUGUAGCAUGUCAUGGAGCGAUGCUGCACCGUGACAAGUUUCUAGGGGCCAACGAGGAAUCAGGAAGGAGGACCAGAAAGAAAGAUGGAGCAGAGCUUCUGCAGCCCCCUGGGGACGGGGAGCUCUGCCUCUGGUGUGGCCACUGUCCCAUCUUGGUGGUUACUCGUUCUUUCUAGAACAGAUGCUUCCUAGACUCCCACUGUGCCCUAGACACUGCACUAGGUUCUGGUGAUGCUGAAACUGAGAGACUAGCAAAGAGGCGAGGGUCUGCCU